UGGGGAAUAUUGCGCAAUGGAGGAAACUCUGACGCAGCAACGCCGCGUGAAGGAUGAAGGUUUUCGGAUUGUAAACUUCUUUGAUCGGGGACGAAAAUGACGGUACCCGAGGAACAAGCCACGGCUAACUACGUG
rnacentral:rRNA from 1 species